ACAUAAAUAGGCCAAGGCUAAACCUUGGCUGAGGCAGGCUGGUGUCACAGUGUGGGAGCCCUGCAGGUGUUGCUCCUAUGGGACGAAGGCCACCCACGUGUAAGGAAAUAUCUCAAUCUGACAAAACUCAGAUAGUGAAAGAAAAUCGAACACAAUGGCCUGGAUUUGGAAUCCUGGUGUAAUUCAACAGGCCACACCACACUAACAGUAUUAUACACAGAACUUCACAAUCACAAAACCUACGGAGGAGCCAGCAAGUAGGACUGCAGCCGUCUUCUGGGAAGUCAAAGAAAAGGGCUGCAUGCAGUCUUCUUCUGCACAGCACACCAGGGCUGAGUGCCCAGCUCAGCUCAGGAACGUGGCACGUACUUUUCUCAGCUUUUCCUCCACCUUCCUAUCCACAGGAUUGGUGCACACUUUCUUCCAGGUCUGUACAACAGCAUCCAGUGGUUUGCUUGGGACUUCUUCAUCAUCAAAGUUCACAAAGAUGGCGUUGCUGGGGCAGAGGACUGGGUUUGCUUUCUGCCUAUGGCACACACAGGCAUGUGGAUUUCAUGGGAACAUGCAAAAAUGAAGUUUGUUUUCCAGAUGACUGAUGAGCAAGAAUCAAGCUGUAUGAGCAGUGGGCUUUACUUCGGUCUCAGAUCCUCGUGGAUUUUGGAAUCACGUACUUGUAACCUGUAACUUAAAGACUUUUGUGAUACCACCAAGGAAGGGAAAUUCCAGUUAAAAAAAACAACACCAUCAAAAUGGCCAAACUACCUCUAGUUGUCUGAUGAAAGAGUUACCCUGUACUACCAGAGAGAAACCCCCCAGGCAAUUGAUUGCUGAUUUAUACGAGAUGGAUUUGUCACACAAAAGGCUGCACGCUGCUGUUUUGUUGCUCCACUGUAACUCCUGAAGUUCAGAAGAGGACAGGGACAAUGUAAGAUGGAAAUGCAGUUUUUAAGAUUUUUUUUUUUUUUCCACUAAAUGCUAAUAAAAGACUGCAGUGAGAAAAACAAAAGCUGUUUCUUGUGGGAGACCUCACAGACUGUUCUUCAGGCAUAAGUGACCAUGGGCCUGGAGGGAACAGAUCCAGUGAAUGUGGUCAGAGGAACAUAUGGCACUGACUUCUCAUAGCCUCCACACAGCUCCAGCCCAUGGCAGUGGCAUCACUCCAAAAUCUCACAUUGAUCUUGCUGAGACUCAGCAGCCUGGGUAGGAGCUCCUGCUGCAGGGUCACCCCCUGCACUGUCCCCUCCUCUGGUUGGGGCUGAGAGGGUCCUGGCCCUAGAAAGGCAAACUUUCUUGUUUCUCAUAGUGCUUCCCAUCAUCAGGUACCCCAUACACAGCAGUAUGGGACAGCUCUAGCCAGGGGUUUGGUAGUGUGUGUGUAUUUGUGUUACAGCUGCUGGUUUUCCUGCUCGUCCCAGCAGUGUAGGCAAUAGAAUUGUUCAUUGAGGUAUGGGGCAGAAGCAGAACUGCCAGCCCUAAAUGUGCAAGAGUCCUGAUCCAGCCUCCCUCUCAACAGUGAUGAGCCUCAUUUGGAUACUGUGAUAUAUAUAUAUAUGUGUGUGUGUGUAUAUAUAAAGAAUGAUUGACUCUGUAUUUUCAGCCUGUAGGGUGCAGUGGCACUACAUUUUCAAGGCUCUCCCUGCAAACGUCAGGCUUAACAAAUGUCUUCAUCUCUUGGCUCUGACACUCGAGCUUUAAGUAAUACAGCUGAUUGUCAUUAGACUUGAGAGGAAAGCCUCCAGACCUGUGAGAGCAGGUGGCAUAACUGCAAAGGGAAAUGCUUUAAAAGGAGACAGAUGUGACUUCAAUUGUGCAUAAUUCAGGUGCAGUUAAUUCAUACAAUCAUAGAAUGGCCUGGGUUGAAAAGGGCCGUAAUGAUCAUUUAGUUUCAGCCUCCCUGCUACUGCUCUGUGUCCUGUGGCUGUCUUCAUUAGGAAAAGAUGCACCCUGUGUCCAGACUUAAAUCUACCCUCGAUCACAACAUUUCUGGGCUGCUCCUCUCGAUACCUGAAGGCUGUCUGGAAGACAGAGGCUCACCUCUGCUCAACAGGAUUGCUUUGCAUGUCCCUCAUUUGCUAAACAAAACAGCCCAAAGACUGAGGAUUUUCUUUCCCUGGCAAUAAAGGAAUGAAGACAGCACUGGGCUGCUGAAGGAGAGCAUCCACGUGUCAUCCAAACCAUCUUGUGCACUGCAAUUGGCCAAGGGAUGAUGUGAGGAACUGACACUGGAAAGUUGCCUCCAUUCUUCUAUCAAGCAUAUCAUAGGGCUGGACUCUAGUUCCACAGCCAGGGCUAGAACAAAGGUGGAGGAAGAGGCUCUGGCAGCAGGUGAAGGACAAAGUGAAAGCGUGUGCUCAGUGCUCCUGGAAGAGCUGCUCUCCCUGCCCACCAGCUGGAACAUCCGGAGGCACUCACAGAUAAGUUGGAUGACUGCAGCCAGUUGCACUACGUCAGGAUUCAGCAAGCUCCAUUUUCCUGCUGUAACGCAGGGCAGUGACAGCACCAGGAGCGAGUGGCUUCUUCUCUGCCACGCAAGAGGAUCGGCUGCAGGGUGCUGGUGUUCCCCUGCGGAGCAGAUGCGGUGCAGAGGAACCUCAGAUUCAUCGUGGAGGGUCAGCAGACAAAGAGGAGAACCAGAGAGGGCCUGGAUUCAGAACCUCGUGCUGGCCCUGACUCACACGGGGGAUAUACAGUGAGUUCACUUUGCAACUGAAGGCAAUUUAAUUUUGUGUAUUGCUGUGAGUUCUUAUUACAUGUCACAUGCUCUGGUGCAUCCUAAGUGAAUAGAUGAUUACGUGCAUAACUCAGCAAGAACAAACAGGUUAAUUAUAGUGCAUUACACCCGUUCUAAUGGUGUUGUCUUCCCUUUCAAAUCUAGCAGCAAACCUCUCCUGUAGCAUCCACGCUGUCUAUGUCAUAUUUAACGGUACAGUAAUUAAGUCACAGUAAAAUAACACAACUAAUUGUUCUCAGUUCUUUCCUGAAGCUCAUUCUAACUUGAACUCUCUUCUGUGACAAAAGAAAUAAAUACGUCUGCAUAGCAGGAAAAAAUACCAUCCCUCAGCCCAAGCUGCAGUAAACGUUAACUGCAAUGCAUGCAGCAGAAGCGGAUUAAAAGCUCACACCAAGCAGCUCCACCUCAUCCAGAAGCAGAAUGACCCAUCGCCAGAACAGCACAAAGGAGCUGCCAUGUCUACAGCAAUGAGAGCUGCAAGAGGGCACAGCUGGUGCUGCAGAAGUUAAAGACUGGCUGUGACUUGUUGCAUGGGGCUCUCAGCUGUGUUUUCUUACACCUGGCUUCUCCAAUAUCUGUAAUUCUCUCCUUACAGGUAGAAUUGGAUCAAACGCUUGCAAACGAUUGUUGGUGCAUCCCUGCUGAACUCAUCCUAUGGGGAACGCUGGGACCCCGCUGGGCUGAGGGCUGAAACACGGAGCUGAAGAACCCGUGUGGCAUGGGACGGCUGGAGAUCCUCUCCUAAGCCAACGUCCUGGCUUCUCCCCUCAGCCUUACUUAACCACAGGGAUAAAAAAAAAACCUAAAGAAGAAGGAUCUUUGGCUGCUGGUUCAGCGCGUGGCCCAGGCCGGCAACACGGUGCUCGCAACCACAGCUCUGCCGCAAAAGGGCCAAACCAGGCGAUCUCAAGCGCAAUAUCGUUCCUCGGGACGGACCGCGUGCGGUGCGGUGCCGCUCAUCGGGCCGUUGUGAGACCGGGCGCAGGCAGCCGGGCAGCGCCGGGCCUUGUUUACCGGCCGCACCCCGCCCCGCCCCCUCACGUGACCGCCGCCUGCGGCUCCGCCCCCAGAAUCACGCGAC